AAAAAAAAUUACCGGCACUCUAGGAGUUUCCAAUCUUAGAUAUUCUUUUAUUCCAAAAACAACGUUGUUUUGACUUUGUUGUUGACGUUGUUUUUGGAAUAAAAGAAUAUCUAAGAUUUGAAACUCCUAGAGUGCCAGUAAUU
rnacentral:miRNA from 1 species